rnacentral:rRNA from 1 species
AUUGAACGCUGGCGGCGGGCCUAACACAUGCAAGUCGAGCGGAUGAAGGGAGCUUGCUCCUGGAUUCAGCGGCGGACGGGUGAGUAAUGCCUAGGAAUCUGCCUGGUAGUGGGGGAUAACGUCCGGAAACGGGCGCUAAUACCGCAUAAGUCCUGAGGGAGAAAGUGGGGGAUCUUCGGACCUCACGCUAUCAGAUGAGCCUAGGUCGGAUUAGCUAGUUGGUGGGGUAAAGGCCUACCAAGGCGACGAUCCGUAACUGGUCUGAGAGGAUGAUCAGUCACACUGGAACUGAGACACGGUCCAGACUCCUACGGGAGGCAGCAGUGGGGAAUAUUGGACAAUGGGCGAAAGCCUGAUCCAGCCAUGCCGCGUGUGUGAAGAAGGUCUUCGGAUUGUAAAGCACUUUAAGUUGGGAGGAAGGGCAGUAAGUUAAUACCUUGCUGUUUUGACGUUACCAACAGAAUAAGCACCGGCUAACUUCGUG